GGAGUAAAAGGNUAUGGCUCAACCAUAGUGUGCUNUGGAAACUGUCUGACUUGAGUGCAGAAGGGGAGAGUGAAAUUCCAUGUGUAGCGGUGAAAUGCGUAGAUAUAUGGAGGAACACCAGUGGCGAAAGCGGCUCUCUGGUCUGUCACUGACGCUGAGGCUCGAAAGCGUGGGUAGCGAACAGGAUUAGAUACCCUGGUAGUCCACGCCGUAAACGAUGAGUGCUAGGUGUUAGGCCCUUUCCGGGGCUUAGUGCCGGAGCUAACGCAAUAAGCACUCCGCCUGGGGAGUACGACCGCAAGGUUGAAACUCAAAGGAAUUGACGGGGGCCCGCACAAGCGGUGGAGCAUGUGGUUUAAUUCGAAGCAACGCGAAGAACCUUACCAGGUCUUGACAUCCCGAUGCUAUUCUUAGAGAUAGGGAGUUACUUCGGUACAUCGGAGACAGGUGGUGCAUGGUUGUCGUCAGCUCGUGUCGUGAGAUGUUGGGUUAAGUCCCGCAACGAGCGCAACCCUUAUUGUUAGUUGCCAUCAUUAAGUUGGGCACUCUAGCGAGACUGCCGGUAAUAAACCGGAGGAAGGUGGGGAUGACGUCAAAUCAUCAUGCCCCUUAUGACCUGGGCUACACACGUGCUACAAUGGUCGGUACAACGAGUUGCGAGCCGGUGACGGCAAGCUAAUCUCUGAAAGCCGAUCUCAGUUCGGAUUGGAGGCUGCAACUCGCCUCCAUGAAGUCGGAAUCGCUAGUAAUCGCGGAUCAGCACGCCGCGGUGAAUACGUUCCCGGGCCUUGUACACACCGCCCGUCACACCACGAGAGUUUGUAACACCCGAAGUCGGUGAGGUAACCUUUUAGGGGCCAGCCGC
rnacentral:rRNA from 1 species